rnacentral:rRNA from 1 species
UACGUAGGGUGCAAGCGUUGUCCGGAAUUAUUGGGCGUAAAGAGCUCGUAGGCGGUCUGUCACGUCGGAUGUGAAAAUCCAGGGCUUAACCCUGGACCUGCAUUCGAUACGGGCAGACUAGAGUUCGGUAGGGGAGACUGGAAUUCCUGGUGUAGCGGUGAAAUGCGUAGAUAUCUGGAGGAACACCGGUGGCGAAGGCGGCAUCCUGGACCGGUAUUGACGCUGAGGCGCGAAAGCCAGGGGAGCAAACGGG